UACGAAGGGUGCAAGCGUUACUCGGAAUUACUGGGCGUAAAGCGUGCGUAGGUGGUGAGUUAAGUCUGUCGUGAAAGCCCCGGGCUCAACCUGGGAAUGGCGAUGGAUACUGGCUCGCUAGAGUGCGGUAGAGGAGAGUGGAAUUCCCGGUGUAGCGGUGAAAUGCGCAGAUAUCAGGAAGAACACCCGUGGCGAAGGCGGCUCUCUGGGCCGUAACUGACGCUGAGGAGCGAAAGCGUGGGGAGCGAACAGG
rnacentral:rRNA from 1 species